UAGGGAAUCUUCGGCAAUGGACGAAAGUCUGACCGAGCAACGCCGCGUGAGUGAAGAAGGUUUUCGGAUCGUAAAACUCUGUUGUUAGAGAAGAACAAGGACGUUAGUAACUGAACGUCCCCUGACGGUAUCUAACCAGAAAGCCACGGCUAACUACGUGCCAGCAGCCGCGGUAAUACGUAGGUGGCAAGCGUUGUCCGGAUUUAUUGGGCGUAAAGCGAGCGCAGGCGGUUUCUUAAGUCUGAUGUGAAAGCCCCCGGCUCAACCGGGGAGGGUCAUUGGAAACUGGGAGACGUGAGUGCAGAAGAGGAGAGUGGAAUUCCAUGUGUAGCGGUGAAAUGCGUAGAUAUAUGGAGGAACACCAGUGGCGAAGGCGGCUCGCUGGUCUGUAACUGACGCUGAGGCUCGAAAGCGUGGGGAGCAAACAGG
rnacentral:rRNA from 1 species